rnacentral:rRNA from 1 species
UACAGAGGUCCCUAGCGUUGUUCGGAUUUACUGGGCGUAAAGGGCGCGUAGGCGGCAAGGCGUGUCAAGUGUGAAAUCUCCGGGCUCAACCCGGAAAGUGCGCUUGAAACUACCUUGCUCGAGUAUGGGAGGGGGAAUCGGAAUAUAGGGUGUAGCGGUGAAAUGCGUUGAUAUCCUAUAGAACACCGGAGGCGAAGGCGGAUUCCUUGAACAUCACUGACGCUGAGGCGCGAAAGUCGGGGGAGCAAAC